CUCAUGAAUCUCUCUAGGAAUUGGGGAGCAAGCACCGAUUUCUGACUUCCUUGAGCACGCUGGGGUGACUGGUGCAACUGUGGGGCCCAACAAGCUGGCAGAGGUGAGGUGGCUUCUAACAGAGGCACUGGCAAUGACCUAACUCUAGGAAGGGCUCUGGGCAGGUGAGAAACUGCAAUUGUAGCUUCUGAAAGCUUACCACAUACCUGGCACCCAUCAGGCAUCUCUCCAGCAUGGAGGUUCAGAUGUAUGAUGCUCUAACUUCUGGCAGAUGAUGCCUUCACAAAGGGUAAUCUCAGAGCUGCCCUCUGGUAUGAGCUAUGUUGAACAGGGAGACAGCAUAUCCACUGCACUCCUAAGAACUUUCUCCAGUGUGAACUUUCUGGUGCUGAAUGACAUCAUGCCUUUAUAUGGCUUUUCUCUAAUCUGAACGUUCUGGUGCACGAACUUACAGAUGCAGCUGAAAGCACUCCAACACUGGCUACACUGAUAAAGCCUUUUUGUUCUGGUGCAGAACAAGAAAGCUCCUGGUGAAGGCUUUCCCGCAGUUGCUGCACUCCUGAGGCCUCUCCCGUGUGAAUUCUGCAGUGCUGAAUGCAGCAGGAGCUUUGGCUAAUGAAUUUCCCAUAUUUGUCAUCCACGUAACACCUAUCACCAGUGAACCAGUUUCUAGUGUGCAAUAAGAAUGCAGCUUUAGCUAAAGACUUUCACACAUUAAUAGCACACACGAGGCCCUUCUGCACUGUGGAUCCUCUGGUGCUGAACAAGGGGGUCUUUGCAGCUGAAGGCUUUCCCACAUGUGCUACACUUGUGAUUCCUUUGUCUAGUGUGAAAGGCUCCCCACAUGCAGAGCCCCUGUGUGGCUUGCUCCUGGUGUGAGGGGCCUCUUGCUGGAAAAUGCCUUAGCUGGCCGAGAAAUCCUUCCCAGUAUCCCUACAUGUGGAGGGUUUCUCUGACAUGUAGGCUCUGCAGCUCUUCAUAAACAAGGCCCUGCCUUCAUUCCUGCCGAAGAGUUCUCUCCACUCUGCUGCUUUGGGUGUGCUGAACGAGAACUAUUUCCCACAUGCCUCACCUGGGAGCGGUUUCUCCACAAGGGCGUGUCCCCAGAUGCUCAGCCAGGUGCAAACCAUCUUUCAAGAUGGGGCCACACAUCUCUCUGGGGUAGGCCUUCUAGGUGGAAACUCCUAAGAAACUUUUUCUAUAGAAACAUUGUGCCCAGAAGAUGUUUCUCCAUCUUCCACACCACACAAACAACCUGAAAGCAGAGAAAUGUUGGUGAAAUGUAUUUUGGUAGGAAGUGGCAGUCCCAACACAAAUGUGUAACAGACACACUCAGGAAGGAGUCCACGGGAUUGAUGGCAGAGUACGGAAGCUGGGUCAGGGUGAGGAAGGGCCUUGGAGCAGUGCUGGAGCUGUUAAGGUCAGAGAAUUGGGCAGCCUCUCCAGGGACAAACACCCAACAAUGAGGUAAAGUGCAGAGGAGAGAAGCAAGGUGACCAACACGUUCCCCUGCAUCAGAUUUCAGCAGGGUCUUGUCUGCUAGUAACAGUUAAGUGCUGUGCAGAAGGGUGUGCCCCGGCCCAGAAAAAUGUGAAAUACAGUCAAUCCUCACUAUUAGCAUAUUCUGUAUUUGCAAGUUUGCCUAUUCACCAAAACUUAUUUGUAACCCCAAAAUCAAUACUUUCAUACUUUCACAGUCACUUGAGCACAUACACAUGCAGAGAACAGCAAAAAAUUUGAGUUGUCCAAUAAGCAUGUUCCCAGCUGAGGUCGAACAAGGUGAUGCUCUGCCUUCUUGUUUCAGUGCCAUUAGGUAAACAAGUGUCCUGUGUGUGAUAUAUUUACUGCCAUGUUUUUAG
rnacentral:lncRNA from 1 species